AGAUUCUAGAAUCAAACCGAAAAAUGUGGAAUCGCGCUGAAGAUCAACUUCAAGCAUGAGCUUUCGUGUUCAAUAGAGGAAAAAAAUAUAGAUUAUACUACUAUUGUUGGCAUUGGGCAUCUGAUUGAUAAUUCAAGCAGUUUGUCAACACUGCAAGAUUCCUUUGUUUUUGCUGAGCUGUUUUGCAAAAACAUGAUAAAUUUCUACCAGUUGCUUCUGCACCACGGCUCUGCACUAUAGAAGUAAUCCAAUACUAAGAAAUUGAACGUAUUGUCGCUUUUAUAAGGACAAAAGGCUGAUUAAUUGAAUCCUGUUCAGCAAAAUUAUCUGAAGUAAAAAAAUGCUUUGACAUAUACAGUCUUAAUUUUUAGAACAUGUCAUUUGAACAAAUGAAGUUACGUAUUAUUUGUUUUGUUUAAGAAACAUCAAUCCAACCAAGCUGGAACAAACAAUGGUUUUGUUAAAUUAUAAGGUAUGUUAAGAGUACACAUUUUGGCUCAAAAUUUGAUUUGUGCUUUAUAUUAUUAUAUUUUUUAGUUAUCUUCAUUACAACCGACUUUUACAAGAACCCACCAAAUAAUUUAUAGGGCUUUAAUGUUUCCUCAUAACAAUUUCCCCUAAUUUAGAUAUGAAUUUGAUGGUUUGAAGCGAUUAUUUCGAGUUUUAGUUCUUGACAAAUUUAAUCGACGUAAUGAUGAAGAAUUGAAUAUUUUGCUGUUGGUGGUUUUUUUGCUUAGUUGGGAUAAUACUAAAAGCAAGAAAAUUAAUAUUAUUUAAAUAUCUUAAUUCACAUAAAUCGAUUUACUGUCAAAAACUCUUAAAUUACAGUAGUUCGCUUUAAAAAAAAUUCUAAUCUUAAAGAAUUAUUUAUGGACAUAAAUUUUUUUAAACUGGAU